UCAAAUGGUGUGAGCGAGUGUUGUUU
rnacentral:sRNA from 1 species